rnacentral:rRNA from 1 species
GACGAACGCUGGCGGCGUGCCUAAUACAUGCAAGUAGAACGCUGAAGGAGGAGCUUGCUUCUCUGGAUGAGUUGCGAACGGGUGAGUAACGCGUAGGUAACCUGCCUGGUAGCGGGGGAUAACUAUUGGAAACGAUAGCUAAUACCGCAUAAUAGUAGAUGUUGCAUGACAUUUGCUUAAAAGGUGCAAUUGCAUCACUACCAGAUGGACCUGCGUUGUAUUAGCUAGUUGGUGGGGUAACGGCUCACCAAGGCGACGAUACAUAGCCGACCUGAGAGGGUGAUCGGCCACACUGGGACUGAGACACGGCCCAGACUCCUACGGGAGGCAGCAGUAGGGAAUCGUCGGCAAUGGACGGAAGUCUGACCGAGCAAAGCCGCGUGAGUGAAGAAGGGUUUCGGAUCGUAAAGCUCUGUUGUAAGAGAAGAACGAGUGUGAGAGUGGAAAGUUCACACUGUGACGGUAGCUUACCAGAAAGGGACGGCUAACUACGUG